rnacentral:rRNA from 1 species
AGAGUUUGAUUAUGGCUCAGGAUGAACGCUGGCGGCGUGCUUAACACAUGCAAGUCGAACGAGGUCCAACCUUCGGGUGAAGACCGAGUGGCGAACGGGUGAGUAACACGUGGGGAACCUGCCCUUCUCUCUGGGAUAACCUCGGGAAACCGAAGCUAAUACCGGAUACUCCUUGCGGACCGCAUGGUCUGCUCGGGAAAGCUCCGGCGGAGAAGGAUGGCCCCGCGGCCCAUUAGCUUGUUGGUGGGGUAACGGCCCACCAAGGCGACGAUGGGUAGCCGAGCUGAGAGGCUGAUCGGCCACACUGGGACUGAGACACGGCCCAGACUCCUACGGGAGGCAGCAGUGGGGAAUCUUGCGCAAUGGGCGAAAGCCUGACGCAGCAACGCCGCGUGCGGGAUGAAGGCUCUCGGGUCGUAAACCGCUUUCAGCAGGGAUGAAAAUGACAGUACCUGCAGAAGAAGCCCCGGCUAAAUACGUGCCAGCAGCCGCGGUAAUACGUAUGGGGCAAGCGUUAUCCGGAUUCAUUGGGCGUAAAGCGCGCGUAGGCGGCUUGUUAAGUCAGGCGUGAAAUCCGGGGGCUCAACCCGCGGCUUGCGUCUGAAACUGGCAGGCUUGAGUCUGGUAGAGGAAAGUGGAAUUCCUGGUGUAGCGGUGAAAUGCGCAGAUAUCAGGAGGAACACCAGUGGCGAGAUCAAACAUGAUUAGAUACCCUGAUAGUC